ensembl:snRNA U6 U6 spliceosomal RNA
AUGCUUGCUUUGGCAGCACAUAUGGGAACAAUUUAAAGAAGAUUAGCAUGGCCCCUGCACAAGGAUGGCAUGCAAAUUCAUGAAGCAUUCCAUAUUUUU